GAUGAACGCUGGCGGCGUGCCUAAUACAUGCAAGUCGAGCGAACGGACGAGAGGCUUGCUUCUCUGAUGUUAGCGGCGGACGGGUGAGUAACACGUGGAUAACCUACCUAUAAGACUGGGAUAACUUCGGGAAACCGGAGCUAAUACCGGAUAAUAUUUUGAACCGCAUGGUUCAAAAGUGAAAGACGGUCUUGCUGUCACUUAUAGAUGGAUCCGCGCUGCAUUAGCUAGUUGGUAAGGUAACGGCUUACCAAGGCAACGAUGCAUAGCCGACCUGAGAGGGUGAUCGGCCACACUGGAACUGAGACACGGUCCAGACUCCUACGGGAGGCAGCAGUAGGGAAUCUUCCGCAAUGGGCGAAAGCCUGACGGAGCAACGCCGCGUGAGUGAUGAAGGUCUUCGGAUCGUAAAACUCUGUUAUUAGGGAAGAACAUAUGUGUAAGUAACUGUGCACAUCUUGACGGUACCUAAUCAGAAAGCCACGGCUAACUACGUGCCAGCAGCCGCGGUAAUACGUAGGUGGCAAGCGUUAUCCGGAAUUAUUGGGCGUAAAGCGCGCGUAGGCGGUUUUUUAAGUCUGAUGUGAAAGCCCACGGCUCAACCGUGGAGGGUCAUUGGAAACUGGAAAACUUGAGUGCAGAAGAGGAAAGUGGAAUUCCAUGUGUAGCGGUGAAAUGCGCAGAGAUAUGGAGGAACACCAGUGGCGAAGGCGACUUUCUGGUCUGUAACUGACGCUGAUGUGCGAAAGCGUGGGGAUCAAACAGGAUUAGAUACCCUGGUAGUCCACGCCGUAAACGAUGAGUGCUAAGUGUUAGGGGGUUUCCGCCCCUUAGUGCUGCAGCUAACGCAUUAAGCACUCCGCCUGGGGAGUACGACCGCAAGGUUGAAACUCAAAGGAAUUGACGGGGACCCGCACAAGCGGUGGAGCAUGUGGUUUAAUUCGAAGCAACGCGAAGAACCUUACCAAAUCUUGACAUCCUUUGACAACUCUAGAGAUAGAGCUUUCCCCUUCGGGGGACAAAGUGACAGGUGGUGCAUGGUUGUCGUCAGCUCGUGUCGUGAGAUGUUGGGUUAAGUCCCGCAACGAGCGCAACCCUUAAGCUUAGUUGCCAUCAUUAAGUUGGGCACUCUAAGUUGACUGCCGGUGACAAACCGGAGGAAGGUGGGGAUGACGUCAAAUCAUCAUGCCCCUUAUGAUUUGGGCUACACACGUGCUACAAUGGACAAUACAAAGGGCAGCGAAACCGUGAGGUCAAGCAAAUCCCAUAAAGUUGUUCUCAGUUCGGAUUGUAGUCUGCAACUCGACUACAUGAAGCUGGAAUCGCUAGUAAUCGUAGAUCAGCAUGCUACGGUGAAUACGUUCCCGGGUCU
rnacentral:rRNA from 1 species